rnacentral:rRNA from 1 species
GACGAACGCUGGCGGCGUGCCUAACACAUGCAAGUUGAGCGACGAACCAGGGCUUGCCCUGGGGCAAAGCAGCGAACGGGUGAGUAACACGUGGGUAACCUCCCCCGAUGAUCGGGCCACCCCGAGGAAACCCGGGCUAAUACCGAAUGUGUCCGCCGGAACCAAGUCCGCCGCGUAAAGGAACCUUCGGCCUCCCAAUCGGGGGGGGCCCGCGGCCCAUUAGCUUGUUGGUGAGGUAACGGCUAACCAAGGCAACGAGGGGUAGCUGGUCUGGGAGGACGGUCAGCCACACUGGGACUGAGAGACGGCCCAGACGCCUACGGGAGGCAGCAGUGGGGAAUCUUGCGCAAUGCGCGAAAGCGUGACGCAGCAACGCCGCGUGGGGAAGAAGGCCUUCGGGUUGUAAACCCCUUUCAGGAGGGACGAAGGUUCGGCGGUGAAUAGCCGUCCGGACUGACGGUACCUCCACAAGAAGCCCCGGCUAACUACGUGCCAGCCGCCGCCGUAAGAC